rnacentral:rRNA from 1 species
AUUGAACGCUGGCGGAAUGCUUUACACAUGCAAGUCGAGCGGCAGCGCGGGGGCAACCCUGGCGGCGAGCGGCGAACGGGUGAGUAAUGUAUCGGAACGUACCCAGUCGUGGGGGAUAACACAUCGAAAGGUGUGCUAAUACCGCAUACGACCUGAGGGUGAAAGCGGGGGACCGUAAGGCCUCGCGCGAUUGGAGCGGCCGAUAUCGGAUUAGCUUGUUGGUGAGGUAAAGGCUCACCAAGGCGACGAUCCGUAGCUGGUCUGAGAGGACGACCAGCCACACUGGAACUGAGACACGGUCCAGACUCCUACGGGAGGCAGCAGUGGGGAAUUUUGGACAAUGGGGGCAACCCUGAUCCAGCCAUUCCGCGUGAGUGAAGAAGGCCUUCGGGUUGUAAAGCUCUUUCAGCAGGAACGAAACGGUUAUUUCUAAUAAAGAUGACAAAUGACGGUACCUGAAGAAGAAGCACCGGCUAACUACGUGCCAGCAGCCGCGGUAAUACGUAGGGUGCGAGCGUUAAUCGGAAUUACUGGGCGUAAAGCGUGCGCAGGCGGUUCUAUAAGACAGAUGUGAAAUCCCCGGGCUUAACCUGGGAACUGCGUUUGUGACUGUAGGACUUGAGUAUGGGAGAGG